rnacentral:rRNA from 1 species
CUACGGGUUGCAGCAGGGGUGAAUCUUUUGCAAUGCGCGAAAGCGUGACAAAGCGAGCCAAAGUGCUUUUCUAUAAUUGAAAAGCUUUUGUUCAUUUUAAAACGAUGGACGAAUAAGGACUGGGAAAGACCGGUGCCAGCCGCCGCGGUAAUACCGGCAGUUCCAGUGGCAGCCAACUUUAUUGGGUCUAAAACAUCCGUAGCUUGUUUGUUAAGUUUCCUGUGAAAUCUCAUGUCUCAAGUAUGAGGCUUGCGGGAAAUACUGGCAAACUAGAGAUCGGUAGGCGUAAGGAGUACAAUCGAGGUAGUGGUUAAAUACGUUAAUCUUGGUUGGACUAACAAUGAGCGAAGGCACCUUACGAGGACGAAUCUGACAGUGAGGGAUGAAGGCCAGGGGCGCAAAACGGAUUAGAUACCCGGGUAGUC